rnacentral:lncRNA from 1 species
GAUGACACGACACACGAUGCACAUUGCACAAGGACCAACGGUUUUUUGUGAAGGGCAACGGUAAUUUUUGUGAUUUUAUCCAGGAAAUAUAGGAGCUGUGGUGAUGGAAUUUUCCAACACAAAAGAAAAAGACAUAGAAGCAGUACGGUAAUCAAAUACUGGCUGAAGUCUCCAAAAACUCGGUUUACCAGCAAAGAGAAAUCUAAAAAUGUUCAAACACCGGAUUCUGGAGGAAAAUGUGAAUGCUUCAAAAAUUGAGAUUGAAUUGAGGUGCAGUAACAUAAACCAGUAUGUAGCUCAAAAAAUUGCUACUUCAAACAGGAAGAGAUUAAAGUAUUCUGGAGCACCACAAUAAGGACCUUUCUUAAUAGA